rnacentral:misc_RNA from 1 species
GACUGGGGUGAAGUCGUAACAAGGUAGCCGUACCGGCUGGUGCGGCUGGAUCACCUCCUACAGGGAGACAAAAACUGAUCGUGAUGUCUAAAUUAUUUUUUUAGGCCAUGAUCCUGUCACCUUAGGUCGAUCGGUACCUCAGAUUCAAAGUCAAUAAAAAUUGCUCAACAGUUUUUGCUGAUAUCGAAUUUCAGUUCCUAAACUUGUCUAGGUCACACCCAGCAAGGGUACUCUGGGCCAUUAGCUCAGGUGGUUAGAGCGCACCCCUGAUAAGGGUGAGGUCCCUGGUUCAAGUCCAGGAUGGCCCAUUCGGUGUUGGGGGUAUAGCUCAGUUGGUAGAGCGCCUGCUUUGCAAGCAGGAUGUCAGCGGUUCGAGUCCGCUUACCUCCACUGAUUAACCUCCUUAUUACCAAUACCAAGGAGAAUUUCUUGUUGGCAUAGACUUGGAUAUAAGUUUUCGCUGGAUGUACCUAGCUUCUUGUCAUACCUUAAAGAUUGAAUUCUAAUAGGCUGGCAACAUGCUGGGCACACUGCAAUAGAAAUAUUGCAGUUAAGUUCAGUAGAACCUUGACAACUGCAUAGUGAGUCUGGAAAAAAUAAAGCAUCUCAUAGAUGACUUAUUCUUUCUUUUAUUUAAGUCAACUGUUAAUUCAGAGGCUAAAAAUAAUGGACUAUGAAUAAUGUCUAAUUCUUGAGCAAGAGCCGAGACUCUAUAGCGUUCUUUUAAUACCCUUAGGUUUUAAGAGUUUGAUUGGUUAUUUGAGUUCUCUCUUUGAUACUUAGAUUUCAGUGAAAACUGGAAACUAUCCUUUCUUUUAGAGAAAGCAAUUACCAAGAAUGCGUUUCAACAACGUGAAGCGUUAUAGAGAUUAUAUGGUCAAGCUACAA